rnacentral:lncRNA from 1 species
AGCAAAGGGAAGAACGGACAAGUAAUGACUACAACAACUACCACCACCAAAAGAAUGAAAUAACAAGGGGCAGGUAAGUUUCCGCUCACUCAUCCUAUCAGUCGUCAUUUAACAGUACACACACGCUUGUUUGAUAUAUUUAGUGAGUUCUAUUAGUGUGAAGGGAUUCAGGGAUAACGCUUCAUCAUUUAGAUAUUAUUUAACAAUAGGCUAUUACUGAAAAAAUGUGCAAAACGUUGAGAAAAAUAACAGUUUUAUGAUAAAAAAAGGAAAUAUUGAUGGCAAACUGUUCCCGACGUUUGAAAUUAAUCUAACAGUACUAAUUAUUUAUUGACAUGUAUCAACAGAAUGGAAAAAUUUCAAAAAAUAAAAUCUUAAGGAAACUUCAUCUAAUGGUUUUAAAAGCAAGAACGACUAAAUAAACUUACAUACACAAAAAAUAUUGGCUGAAAUGGGAGAAAACUUAUAGAAAAAUCACAAUUGUGAGAUUAGAUAAGGAAAAACAGUUCGUUGAAGGGUUGUUUUUGAAAUUAUUUCAUGAAUCGUAGUGGUGAUAAAUAAAUGACUCACGAGAAAGAGUGGACACUCAGUAGAAGAAGAACAUGUUUUUUCCUUAUCUUUGCAGAUUGGCUUAAAAUUGUCUGCUGCCAUAAGUAACGUGUAGUCUAGUGUAUUGUAAUACUAUAUCAACUUCGAGUAAAAAGUCUUAUCGCCAAUGAAAAUCUUUAAAUUUCCAAAAGAUAUCCAUCGAAGUUAAUUGUGGAUCAAUGCCUUCAAAUAUGCAAAUUGGACUCCCGCCAAAUACUCAAGAGUUUGCCAAGUAAUAUAAUCAACUAUUUUUUACUAUGUAAACAUUAAAUUUAUGAGUUGCUUUAUAAGGAUGUCACUGGGCUCUAUAUUCUAAUUAUGCAUACUUAAAUUAUUCACUUUAGACUCACUAUGAAGAAUCAAUAUUUCCAUGGAAGUCUCCAGAAGGUCGGUGGUAUUUGGUACAUAAUGCAAUUUCUACUUUAUUUGAACAUUCAAUGUCUUCUAAGAAAAAAAAGAUUAUUGGAAGCCUUAGAAAACUGGUAUCAUUUUGUCGACAACUUUUAUCCUUCAGUUGCACAAGGAACUUCUUGAGGAAGAAUGUUCAUUUAUUUUAAAUGGAAGAUUUACUCAAGAUGCCAUGGAAAAUUUAUUCAGCCUUAUUUGAUACAACUGCCCAACUCCAACAUCAUUAGAGGCUCAAAAUAAUCUUAGAAUAAUUGUUUUAAGUCAGUUCAUGAAAGAAAAGGGAUCUUCCAAUUAUCAAUAUGAUGGCAAAUAUCUAAUCGAUUUCUUAGAUGAUUUAAAAGAAGGAAGAAAUAUAUCAGACGAAGCGAAUAAUGAAUCUUUUCUUCAAGAACUAACUCAUCAACCACAAGAAGAUACUGUGUUGACUGAAAAACAAAGCGAUAUUUUAUAUUAUAUUGCUGGCUAUAUUUUAAAGCAAAUUAAGACAUAACAGUAUGUUCGUUCUGACUGUCUUAGUUUUGUUAUUGUGGACACUAAUGGCUCAUAUUCAAAACUCGUGGAAGUCUUCGAAAAUAUAUUCAUUACAGCCGAGAAGCAAUUUUGCAACCUUAUUAAAAUUCAAAAAUUUAAUGAUUUAAGAGAUAUAACCAAAAUUGGGCAAGAUCUAAUUGAAAAAGAAACAACAAAUAUAUCCCUACCCGAUUGACAUAAUUUAAGACAAAAUAAUUCGGAAAUUUUGCCAAGUUCGUGUUAAGAUGUACACAAAA